CAGGGAAAUGGGAGCUCUUUGCCUGCACAGGGCAGGCUCCGGAGGAGUGGCCGUGGGUUUUGCUGACUUCCCUGGGCUAAGAACAUGCUGGCGACUGCAUCAAUGGUACAGAAAACAGGGCUGGAAUUGGCCCUGGGUGCAGGGGGGAACUCUUGGGUGCUGCCACUGCAAGUAACGUCAGCAGCUGAGGCACCUCAUCGCAGGCCUGUGAAGGAGAGGCCAGAAGGUUAGACUUGACUUUCACAUUAGCCCUUAGCGGAGAUGCUUGUCUUAGCUGGAGGAGAACCAAGGAGACCGAGGCACAGUGAGAAGGCGCAGAGGCCUUCUCUGUCCAAGGGGAUUGUAAGUGUGGAAGGCUUCUGUUGCAAGAGCAGUAAUUCACUGAGGUCAUGGUAUGGACAAUGUCUCUGCUUCACACCUGAUCUGUGCAGUUCCUGGGUUUUCGUUUCUGUUCUGCUGAGAGGUCAUGCCCAGAAGAGAUGGGGAAAUGAGUCCUCGUAACCUGUAACAGGGCAUGUGUUUGGGGACUCCCUUACACCUGGGGACUGCUUGACGGCCAAAGAUGACAGGAUCAAGAUGCCCUUACAGAAGGCAGGGACAGUUUUCCCUGGUGUUUCAGGCUGUGCUUGGUGGAGAGGAUGCACACCCAUGCCACCAGUAUCAAACCUCUUGUGACUGCUCCUGUGAUGCUCUGGGUGCGAAGCAGAGAGAAGUGAUGUCUGAUGUUGCGGAGCUCAGAUUUGGGCCGAAGCAUCUCCUUUUUCCAGCAGAAGAAGGUAACAUGUCCCAGUGCUGAGUCUUGAAGAGGAUGGGAUGAGAUGAGAUGGUGGCAGCGGUUCAUAGUGUUGGGUUGAAUCUGGGGACUGCGGGAUGCCGUGGGGACAGCCUGGCUUGGCUGUCACCCACCACCCAUGCCCUACCGUGCCAACGACCCCCUGAAUGUACCAUGGUUGUGUAUUGAGGGGCUGCCCAGGUCUCAUAUCUUAUUUGAC